rnacentral:rRNA from 1 species
GAUGAACGCUGGCGGCGUGCCUAAUACAUGCAAGUCGAGCGAACAGACGAGGAGCUUGCUCCUCUGACGUUAGCGGCGGACGGGUGAGUAACACGUGGAUAACCUACCUAUAAGACUGGGAUAACUUCGGGAAACCGGAGCUAAUACCGGAUAAUAUAUUGAACCGCAUGGUUCAAUAGUGAAAGACGGUUUUGCUGUCACUUAUAGAUGGAUCCGCGCCGCAUUAGCUAGUUGGUAAGGUAACGGCUUACCAAGGCAACGAUGCGUAGCCGACCUGAGAGGGUGAUCGGCCACACUGGAACUGAGACACGGUCCAGACUCCUACGGGAGGCAGCAGUAGGGAAUCUUCCGCAAUGGGCGAAAGCCUGACGGAGCAACGCCGCGUGAGUGAUGAAAGUCUUCGGAUCGUAAAACUCUGUUAUUAGGGAAGAACAAAUGUGUAAGUAACUAUGCACGUCUUGACGGUACCUAAGCAGAAAGCCACGGCUAACUACGU